GACGAACGCUGGCGGCAUGCCUAACACAUGCAAGUCGAACGAGACCUUCGGGUCUAUUGUCGCACGGGUGCGUAACGCGUGGGAACCUUCCCUUAUGUUCGGAAUAACUCCCCGAAAGGGGUGCUAAUACCGGAUAAUGUCUUCUGACCAAAGAUUUAUCGCCUUUGGAUGGGCCCGCGUUGGAUUCGCUAGUUGGUAGGGUAAAAGCCUACUAAGGCGAAGAUUCAUAGCUUGGCUGAGAGGAUGAUCAGCCACACUGGGAGUGAGAAACGGCACAGACUCCUACGGGAGGCAGCAGUGGGGAAUAUUGGACGAUGGGCGAAAGCCUGAUCCAGCAAUGACGCGUGAGUGAUGAAGGCAUUAGGGUUGUAAAGCUCUUUUAACCGGGAUGAUAAUGACAGUACCGGGAGAAUAAGCGCCGGCUAACUCCGUG
rnacentral:rRNA from 1 species